rnacentral:snoRNA from 1 species
AAGACUAUACUUUCUGGGAUCAUUUUUAUAGCAUGUUACUAGAGAAGCUUCUCUGACCGUGAGAGUACCAGAAACCCCUGGAAGGG